rnacentral:rRNA from 1 species
GACGAACGCUGGCGGCGUGCUUAACACAUGCAAGUCGAACGGAAAGGCCCUGCUCUUGCGGCGCGCUCGAGUGGCGAACAGGUGUGUAACACGCGAGUAACCUGCCCUUGACUUUGGGAUAACUUCAGGAAACUGGGGCUAAUACCGGAUAGGAGCUCCUGAUGCAUGGUGGGGGUUGGAAAGUUACGGCGGUUGGGGAUCGACUCGCGGCUUAUCAGCUUGUUGGUGGGGUAGUGGCUUACAAAGGGUUUGACGGGUAGCCGGCCUGAGAGGGUGACCGGCCACAAUGGGCCUGAGAUACGGCGCAGACUCCUACGGGAGGCAGCAGUGGGGAAUAUUGCACAAUGGGCGGAAGCCAGAUACAGCGAUGCCGCGUGCGUGAUGACGGGCUUCGGGUUGUAAACCGCUUUCGCCUGUGACGAGGCGUGAGUGACGGUAAUGGGUAAGAAAGCACCGGCUAACUACGUG